AGAGCGUAGGGAGAAUGCCUUGGCAUUAGGAGCCGACGAAGGACGUGAUAAGCUGCGAUAAGCUGCGGGGAUCAGCAAGUAUGAAUUGAUCCGCAGAUUUCCGAAUGGAGCAAUCCGUAUGUGUAUGCACAUACAUCAUAUACUGAAUCAAAUAGGUAUAUGAGGGGAACCGCCUGAACUGAAACAUCUAAGUAGGGCGAGGAAGAGAAAUCAACCGAGAUUCUGUGAGUAGUGGCGAGCGAAAGCGGAAGAGGCUAAACCAUAGGUAGCAAUACUUAUGGGGUUUCGGACAGCAUUUAGUAUUGAUAAUUUCUAGUUGAAACGUGUGGGAAAACGUACCGAAGAGUGUGAGAGUCACGUAAGCGAAAGAGAGAGUCAGCGAGCUGUAUCCAAAGUACCGCGGGACACGUGAAACCCCGUGGGAAGAUGGGGGGACCAUCCUCCAAGCCUAAAUACUACCUAAUGACCGAUAGCGAAUAGUACUGUGAAGGAACGGUGAAAAGAACCCCGGGAGGGGAGUGAAAAAGAACCUGAAACCCUAUGCUUACAAGCACCGAGAGCACGUCAAAGUGUGAUCGGGUACCUUUUGUAGAAUGGUCCGGCGAGUUAUUGUAUGCGGCAAGGUUAAGUGCUUAAGGCACGGAGCCGAAGCGAGAGCAAGUCUGAAUAGGGCGAAAAAGUCGUAUGCAAUAGACCCGAAACCGAGUGACCUAUCCAUGUCCAGGCUGAAGUGGAGGUAAAACUCCAUGGAGGGCCGAACACACGUCCGUUGAAAAGGCCGGUGAUGAGGUGUGGAUAGCGGAGAAAUUCCAAUCGAACUCGGAUAUAGCUGGUUCUCUCCGAAAUAGCUUUAGGGCUAGCCUCGUGAAAGAUUACUGGAGGUAAAGCACUGAAUGGGCUAGGGGUCGAAAGAUUACUGAACCCUAUCAAACUAAGAAUGCCAGAUAAUUGAUUCACGGGAGUCAGACAAUGUGAGAUAAGUCUCAUUGUCAAAAGGGAAACAGCCCAGACCCACAGCUAAGGUCCCUAAACAUUGUUAAGUGGAAAAGGAUGUGGGGUUGCAUAAACAACCAGGAUGUUGGCUUAGAAGCAGCCACUCAUUAAAAGAGUGCGUAAUAGCUCACUGGUCGAGUGACCCUGCGCCGAAAAUUCAACGGGGCUAAACAAUGUACCGAAGCUUGGGAUUCUAGAAUUAUCUAGAGUGGUAGGAGAGCGUCGAAUAAGGGGUGAAGUCAGAGCGGAAGCGCUGGUGGACUUUAUUCGAGUGAGAAUGCCGGAAUGAGUAGCGAGAAUUAUGUGAGAAUCAUAAUGGCCGAAAAUCUAAGGUUUCCUGAGGAAGGUUCGUCCGCUCAGGGUAAGCCGGGGGCUAAGGCGAGGCGGAGACGCGUAGCCGAUGCACAUACGGUUGAAAUUCCGUAGCCACCGAAAGAUUUAAGUACAGGGACGCUUUAGAAGUGAUGUUGCCGGGCGAUGGUUGACCCGGUCGUAAGGGAUCGAAAAUGAGUAGAGAAGUCAUCAUAGAAAAAGACAAGAAAAGCUGUAUGUAUAUUUUAGGUGCCCGUACCGCAAACCGACACAGGUAGAUAGGAAGAAGAUUCUAAGGCCAACGGGAGAAGGGUUGUUAAGGAACUCGGCAAGUUGACCCCGUAACUUAGGGAUAAGGGGUGCUCAAGUGAUUGAGCCGCAGAGAAUAGGUCCAGGCGACUGUUUAGCAAAAACACAGGUCUCUGCUAAAUCGAAAGAUGACGUAUAGGGGCUGACACCUGCCCGGUGCCGGAAGGUUAAGAGGAGAUGUGAGAGCAUUGAAUUGAAGCCCCGGUAAACGGCGGCCGUAACUAUAACGGUCCUAAGGUAGCGAAAUUCCUUGUCAGGUAAGUUCUGACCCGCACGAAAGGUGUAACGAUCUGGGCACUGUCUCAACAACCCGCCCGGCGAAAUUGUAGUACCGGUGAAGAUGCCGGUUACCCGCGACUAGACGGAAAGACCCCAUGGAGCUUUACUGUAGCCUAAUAUUGGAUUUCGGUAUUUCACGUACAGGAUAGGUGGGAGACUGGGAAGCACAGGCGUCAGCUUGUGUGGAGUCGACCUUGGGAUACCACUCUUGGAGUGCUGGAAUUCUAACCUGCGGCUUUGAAGCAAGUCGGGGGACAUUGUUAGGUGGGCAGUUUGACUGGGGCGGUCGCCUCCUAAAGAGUAACGGAGGCGCUCAAAGGU
rnacentral:rRNA from 1 species